GUACUAUUCAAAAAAGGAUGCAAUGGAGAACAUUUACAGAGGACUGUGGGUAAAGCAAAGUCUUCAAGGGAAGAUAACAAAGGAUGAAACAAUGGUGUUGUGUGACUUCCUAGUGUGAAUCAUGGCAAUACAGUGAAAGACAGUGAUUUACUGCUUUUGAGGGCGUGCAUGUAUAUGAUUAACGGAUGGAAGUGCAGGACUCCAAGAUUUACUUCCUUCCCUUUCCAGCAGAAUUACCUGAGACGAGUAAAAUCUACUGGUGGAGUCACUCCAUUAUUCUUAUCUGUGGAGAUCUAGAUCUUGAUUUGAAAGUUUCUGAGAAAAUCUUCAGCUCAGACUUGAGGGUCAACUUUACCAGCUGAAGUGACUACAUCCUGCCUGCUUUCAGCUCCAGUGGAAAAUGCAUUAAUCCCAGAGUCUCCGUGAGGUUUCCUGUUUGAUGACAUAAUCAGAAAAUCCUCCUCACAUUGCCCUUGGGGUUGCUGUCUGGAUGUUAUGUUGUCUUGGAUCUGCAUUUACUGCUCAACCACAUCUAAUUUGAUGUCCUCUGCAGAUUUAAAAUGUGUGCCUUCUUUUCCGUCACCAAGUCAUCCCUGGGUUACUACUGAACAUCCUUCUCAAUUCCCCCCGACCCAUGGAUGGCUGUUCUCCAUUGUCUGUUUCACCAGAUGUCCUCAAAACAAACAGACAGAAGAAGGAAGUGGCUAAUGGAGCUGUGGAGUCCAAGUGUGACUGCCAAGAGGAAUCCAGCAAAGCCAAAAAGCCCAAGCAUGUAGCCCUGCCCGAAGCACGCCACACGCAUGGAAAACCCAGAGGAAAUGAGUGAGGAUCAAUGGGAAGAAGAGAGCCAGCCAGGUUCGAUGCCUUCUCCAUCCGUCAGUGAGGGUGUGGAGAGCCUGCAGGCGUGUGCCUCCCUCUGUAACUUGCUAUUCCUUGUGUAAUGUCAAGUGGAAGUGUGAAGCACCACAAACUGCUCUGAGCAGAGCCCACUUCCCUUCACCCACGGAGAGCGUGAAGCAGUUACACCAACAUCAAUCAAGGAAAACCCACAGGCUGAGCUCACACGGUUGAAGCAGCUCUGUAUUCUAAGAACCUGGAAACAAUCUUUAUUCACACUGUUAAGACGAUUGAGAAAAAUGGAUGGAUAGAGUUUAUUUGCUAAGAGAAAAACUGAGUGACUACCUAGCUACCUCACUCCUUUUUGCUCUAUUGGAAGUUGAAGAUUUGUCCAGGAGCAGAUAGCUGAAGAGAGAGAGAGAGAAGAGAGAACGGCUUACAGCUCAGGUCCUCUCUCCAUGCUUAGGAACCACUACAAAUGCUACUGCCUUGAGUCUCAUUUUGUUUCCCUCUGGAAACCACAUGUGUACCUUGUUUGCAACAGUAUGGGCUCACAGGCAGAAGGAAUUUUCCUUGUCUUGGAUGAGACUUUUGACUUGGACUUUUGGGUUAAGGAUUUACAGAAAGCGUGGUGCUGGCAUCUGAUCAGCUUCUGGGGUGGCCUCAGGAAGCUUACAAUCAUGGUGGCAUUUGAAGUGGAAGCGAGAGAGAGAAGAGGAGAUGCAACACACUUUUAAACAAGAUUUCAGGAGAACUCAUUCACUAUGAUUCUACAUCUCCAUCCAUGGGCCACUGUUUCAGCAACCUCAGCCAGUGCAACACAACCUCAGCCAAGAAGAGUAUGCAGAGAAAGGAGUCCCCUACCUGCCACAAAACUGUUGUCUGAAAACUGUCUCAUAUUGUCUCAAGUUGUCAUUCAUUGUGAAUUAGACCUGUUUAACAUGUAAUCUGCAACAUG
ensembl:lncRNA CASC15 cancer susceptibility 15